rnacentral:sRNA from 1 species
GUCGGAACGUAAUUGAGCCUGAACUACUCUGAUUUGCCGUGGCUCCUUCCGCUGAUUAUGCUUAGUUCUGCCCCCAAUGACAGCUUACUCUGUCUGUCCGUCUAAGUCCGUCCGCAUGUUGUAAUGGUAAGGCCGUUAAAUGCGCCUAAAGGAGGGCAUUUGUUAUCUUCUUGGUCGAAAAUCCAUAUGGAAUUAACUGGGGAAAAGUUAAUAAUUCAGUUUGUUCUUCUUUUUGGUUUAGGAUAAGUUCGUAAUUUGGUUCUCAAUAACUGUUUUUAAUUCAGUUCACUUUUUUCCACUUUUUAGGAUUAGC